GCCGGCCCAGAAUCCUCGGGCGACGUGGGGGUCACCAAACCCCGCCAGGCCCGGAAGGGAGCAACGGUAGGUGGUCUUCCGUGCGCCCGGGGAUUGUGGGCCGGCUCUUUUU
rnacentral:SRP_RNA from 1 species